UUACGGCCAUAGAACCUUAAACACCAGCUCCUGGAGGAUCACCGAAGUUAAGCAACGUAGAUCCAAGCCGGUACCUAGAUGGGUGACCGCUUGGGAAUAUCAGGUGCUGUAAG